AAAUUGAAGAGUUUGAUCAUGGCUCAGAUUGAACGCUGGCGGCAGGCCUAACACAUGCAAGUCGAGCGGUAGCACAGAGAGCUUGCUCUCGGGUGACGAGCGGCGGACGGGUGAGUAAUGUCUGGGAAACUGCCUGAUGGAGGGGGAUAACUACUGGAAACGGUAGCUAAUACCGCAUAACGUCGCAAGACCAAAGUGGGGGACCUUCGGGCCUCAUGCCAUCAGAUGUGCCCAGAUGGGAUUAGCUAGUAGGUGGGGUAAUGGCUCACCUAGGCGACGAUCCCUAGCUGGUCUGAGAGGAUGACCAGCCACACUGGAACUGAGACACGGUCCAGACUCCUACGGGAGGCAGCAGUGGGGAAUAUUGCACAAUGGGCGCAAGCCUGAUGCAGCCAUGCCGCGUGUAUGAAGAAGGCCUUCGGGUUGUAAAGUACUUUCAGCGAGGAGGAAGGCAUUAAGGUUAAUAACCUUGGUGAUUGACGUUACUCGCAGAAGAAGCACCGGCUAACUCCGUGCCAGCAGCCGCGGUAAUACGGAGGGUGCAAGCGUUAAUCGGAAUUACUGGGCGUAAAGCGCACGCAGGCGGUCUGUCAAGUCGGAUGUGAAAUCCCCGGGCUCAACCUGGGAACUGCAUUCGAAACUGGCAGGCUAGAGUCUUGUAGAGGGGGGUAGAAUUCCAGGUGUAGCGGUGAAAUGCGUAGAGAUCUGGAGGAAUACCGGUGGCGAAGGCGGCCCCCUGGACAAAGACUGACGCUCAGGUGCGAAAGCGUGGGGAGCAAACAGGAUUAGAUACCCUGGUAGUCCACGCCGUAAACGAUGUCGACUUGGAGGUUGUGCCCUUGAGGCGUGGCUUCCGGAGCUAACGCGUUAAGUCGACCGCCUGGGGAGUACGGCCGCAAGGUUAAAACUCAAAUGAAUUGACGGGGGCCCGCACAAGCGGUGGAGCAUGUGGUUUAAUUCGAUGCAACGCGAAGAACCUUACCUACUCUUGACAUCCAGAGAACUUAGCAGAGAUGCUUUGGUGCCUUCGGGAACUCUGAGACAGGUGCUGCAUGGCUGUCGUCAGCUCGUGUUGUGAAAUGUUGGGUUAAGUCCCGCAACGAGCGCAACCCUUAUCCUUUGUUGCCAGCGAUUAGGUCGGGAACUCAAAGGAGACUGCCAGUGAUAAACUGGAGGAAGGUGGGGAUGACGUCAAGUCAUCAUGGCCCUUACGAGUAGGGCUACACACGUGCUACAAUGGCAUAUACAAAGAGAAGCGACCUCGCGAGAGCAAGCGGACCUCAUAAAGUAUGUCGUAGUCCGGAUUGGAGUCUGCAACUCGACUCCAUGAAGUCGGAAUCGCUAGUAAUCGUAGAUCAGAAUGCUACGGUGAAUACGUUCCCGGGCCUUGUACACACCGCCCGUCACACCAUGGGAGUGGGUUGCAAAAGAAGUAGGUAGCUUAACCUUCGGGAGGGCGCUUACCACUUUGUGAUUCAUGACUGGGGUGAAGUCGUAACAAGGUAACCGUAGGGGAACCUGCGGUUGGAUCACCUCCUUA
rnacentral:rRNA from 1 species